rnacentral:rRNA from 1 species
ACCAGACUCCUACGGGUGGCAGCAGUGAGGCCUCUUUGUCAAUGUUCUUUCGACUGAACCCUCCCAGCCGCGUUCUUUCUGAAGGUCCAUCUUAUCGUAACCCUCUUUUGUCAGUUCCCCCAGGCGGGUCCUUGUCCCCGGAUUCGUGUACCUGAAGAAAAAGCAUCGGCUACCUCCGUGCCAGCAGCCGCGGUAAUACGUAGGAUGCGAGCGUUAUCCGGAUUUAUUGGGUUUAAAGGGUGCGUAGGCGGAGUUGCAAGUCAGCGGUAAAAUCGAGGGGCUCAACCCCUUUAAGCCGUUGAAACUGGUGAUCUUGAGUGGGAGAGAAGUAUGCGGAAUGCGUGGUGUAGCGGUGAAAUGCAUAGAUAUCACGCAGAACUCCGAUUGAGAAGGCAGCAUACCGGCGCCCGACUGACGCUGAAGCACGAAAGCGUGGGUAUCGAACAGGAUUAGAUACCCCCGUA